UCAUUCGUUCAAAAUUUAAAUCUUAAAACACAAAUAACUCAAUCUCAAUUUCCAAUUAACCUAAAUUUUCAAAAAUCAAUCGAUUCAAACUUCUCCUUUUCUGUUGUGCCAUUUUUGUUGGCGUCUUGCUGCCUUGCUGUGCCGUUAUUGCUGUCUUACUGUAAGUUCAAGUUUUUUUUAUCGAUCUCGCAAAACUCAUUUUCAUGUCUAUCAAGUUUUUUUAUCCAAACAUUUCCUAAAAAACUCAUUUGCAUCCCUAUCAAACACUGACAUGAUAAAUAUUAAUUUGAUUAAAAAGUUUUCUCCUUGUUUCUGACAUGACAACCUUCAGACAUAAAUUAGUUCAAUCAUAAAUAUCAGACAAUUUCUAACUGACAAUGAUAAAUAUUAAUUUUAUUAAGAUAGAAAGUUUCCUCCUUGCAUGUUUCCUUGACCUUGCAUGUUUCCUUGACCUUGUUGUGACAUCAUUUGAGUUCUUGUAGAACCCUGGACAAAUGAUUGAUUCAAACCUACACCAAUCAUUUGGGAUCUCUGUUGCUGUUGAUUCUGUUGGGGCUGGUUCUG
rnacentral:lncRNA from 1 species